UAGAGAAGUAGUUAAUGAUCAAGUCUUGGAUAAAAACCAUGACAAAAAAAAAGAGAAAAACUUAUAUAAAGUACUUUUGAUCAACGAAAAAAAUAUCCGAAAUCUGAAUAUAAAGUACACGGCCAAUUAAAGCUUACUUUUGACUCUAGUUUAUACAUCACUCAGUUUCAGACAACGGAACUCUGAGAACAGAAAUACGUGUGAAAUUGUUUUUUAAAAUUUCCCAUCAGCAAGUUGGCCAACAUAGAGUGCGCUACAAGAAUGUCAUAUACAUUUACUACUACACUGUUUACUGUUGUUUUUUUUUUAAAUUAUAUUGGGGAUAACGGAAGUGCUAUUUAUAGAUAUGUUCUAUAUUUAAUUAUUUGUUACGCCCCCUAUAAAUUUUUGACCAGUCCGGUUAAUCACCCCAGACGCUAUAUUUAAAUAUGCGUCUGGGUAAUCGAGACUACAC
rnacentral:lncRNA from 1 species